GGAGAUGGCUCAGUGGUAGAGUGCUUGCCUUGCAUGCAUGAGGUCCUGAGUUCGAUUCCUCAGCACCA
rnacentral:tRNA from 1 species